GGAAGGAUCAUUCAAAUUCCCUUCUUAAACUAUUGUACGUUGAACUUUGGCUCUAGAGUUGUGUGCUGUUGUAAUGAUGGCAUGUGGCGCUAGAGACUCGUCUUGGGGCUUAAACGAGCUCUAGAUUCGGGAACCCAACCUAAAACUCACUAGAUGACUAUGCAUGACUGUGUGUCUAAAUGCUUUGCUUGCGUAUUCACGAUCAUGUAACCCGUCGAGUGGACCAUACAAAUGUGACCAUUUACAAAUCUAAACAACUUUUUAGCAGUGGAUACCUCGGCUACCAUAACGAUGAAGAACGCAGCGAAACGCGAUAUUAAUUGCGAAUUGCAGAAUUCAGUGAAUCAUCGUAACUUUGAACGCACUUACGGCUCUGGGUUGACGCCCUUGGCCACUCCUCUUUGAGUAUCGUAACCAAAAACCAAUUUCAGAGCUUCAAGCUCUGGAUCGUUUGUGAGAGUCCAAAGGCAAAGCGCAAGCCUGCAACGUGUCUCUUUAAACAUUUGGUCGCUGGAGUUGGAUACAAGUGUUUAUGUUGUAGAAUUGUUUUGGUGUCGCCUAUUCAGAUUGUGGUUGCCCAACUAACCUUGGUGUGAUAGCGAUUUACUAUAGAGACGAGUGCUUUGAAUCAAUGAAUGCUCUGCAUUUGGAAUCAAGCGCCUCAUGACAUCAUCUGCACAAAUCUACUCGCAUCUACACGUCAAACUUGAGAUCAAUUAGCCUUCGUAUUCACAUACGAGCACAAGGCUUUUCGGCACAAGAUCUCAAAUGAGGUGAGACCACCCCUGAGUUUAAGCAUAUUCGUAAGGGGAGGAAAGAAACUAAAUAGGAUUCCCUUAGUAACGGCGAGUGAAGCGGGAAGAGCUCAACCUGAGAAUCCCAGUUGGUUUCCAUCUGGGAAUUGUGGGUUUUCGAGGCAAUAUCAGUGUGUGGCCCUGGUCUAAAUCUGCUGGAAUGCAGUGUUCGGAGAGGGUGACAGCCCCGUCUGUGACUAGGAGUCCGCCACGUACGAUAUGUUCUCUGAGAGUCGGGUUCCUUGGGAAUGGAGCCUUAAAUGGGUGGUAAAUUCCAUCUAAAGCUAAAUAUCUAUGGUAGACCGAUAGCGCACAAGUACCGUAAGGGAAAGGUGAAAAGGACUUUGAAAAGAGAGUCAAAAGUACUUGAAACUGCUAAAAGUCAAGGGAUAAGAACUGUUGGAUCGGGUCGUCCACUUAGCUGGUGUGGUUGGAACUGGCAUUUGUAAAUCAGUCGGCUUUCGGGUCGAGUGCAAGUGUAGGCGAGAGCCAGGCUAGUGUAUGUGGGCGCGAGUUUGUGUCAGAAUCGAUUCGGACUGUGAGAACACGGCCAUGGGGGAGGUAGAGUCGUGAUCGAGUUUCGGCUCGUGAUCCUCGAAUACCCCGUGGACUCCGCCUCUCGGACUGGAUCGAGGCCUUGCUGAUUCUGACCUUAUACGGUUCUUAUUCACCCGUCUUGAAACACGGACCAAGGAGUCUAACGUGCACGCGAGUUUUAGGGUGUGAAAACCCGAAGGCGCAAUGAAAGUGAAGGAAUGACUCGUCAUUUCGGAGAUGUGAAUCCUCGUAGUGGGGAGGCAACAUCGCCCGGCCAUGUCAUUGGUAUGUGGUUCGAGGUCGAGCGUGUACGAUAGGACCCGAAAGAUGGUGAACUAUGCCUGGGCAGGGUGAAGCCAGGGGAAACUCUGGUGGAAGCUCGCAGCGAUACUGACGUGCAAAUCGUUCGUCAGACCUGGUAUAGGGGCGAAAGACUAAUCGAACCAUCUAGUAGCUGGUUUCCCUC
rnacentral:misc_RNA from 1 species